CGGUUGAUCCUGCCGGACCCGACUGCUAUUUGGGUGAGGAUAAGCCAUGCGAGUUGAAUGGGAUACCUAAAUUUCCCAUAGCAAACUGCUUAGUAACACAUGAUCAACUUGCCCUAUGGAGAAAAAUAACCUCGGGAAACUGAGGAUAAUGUUUCAUAGUUGAAAAGGCUUGGAAAAGUUUUUCAAUGAAAGGGAUAAGAUAAAUGGUUCUUAUUUGCCAUAGGAUAGGAUCGUGGUCGAUUAUGGUAGUUGGUGAGAUAAUGGCUCACCAAGCCGAUAAUCGAUAGGGGCCGUGAGAGCGGGAGCCCCAAGAUGGGUACUGAGACAGCGACCCAGGCCUUACGAGGCGCAGCAGGCGCGAAACCUCCGCAAUACACGAAAGUGUGACGGGGUUACCCAAAGUGUUCUCUUUAGAACUGUGGUAGGUGAGUAAUGUCCCCUACUAGAAAGGAGAGGGCAAGGCUGGUGCCAGCCGCCGCGGUAAAACCAGCUCUUCAAGUGGUCGGGAUAAUUAUUGGGCUUAAAGUGUCCGUAGCCGGUUUAGUUAGUUCCUGGUAAAAUCGGGUAGCUUAACUAUCUGCAUGCUAGGAAUACUGCUAUACUAGAGGGCGGGAGAAGUCUGAGGUACUACAGGGGUAGGGGUGAAAUCUUAUAAUCCUUGUAGGACCACCAGUGGCGAAGGCUUCAGACUGGAACGCGCCUGACGGUGAGGGACGAAAGCCAGGGGAGCGAACCGGAUUAGAUACCCGGGUAGUCCUGGCCGUAAACGAUGCAUACUAGGUGAUGGUACGGCCAUGAGCCGUAUCAGUGCCGUAGGGAAACCGUUAAGUGUGCCGCCUGGGAAGUACGGUCGCAAGGCUAAAACUUAAAGGAAUUGGCGGGGGAGCAC
rnacentral:rRNA from 1 species